AAAAGAUCUUUUCCAAUCCUAUAACAGAUAGAGGCCUUAUAUCCAAAAUAUACAAAGAACUCAAGAAGUUAGACCGCAGGGAAACAAAUAACCCUAUUAAAAAAUGGGGUUCAGAGCUAAACAAAGAAUUCACAGCUGAGGAAUGCCGAAUGGCUGAGAAACACCUAAAGAAAUGUUCAACAUCUUUAGUCAUAAGGGAAAUGCAAAUCAAAACAACCCUGAGAUUUCACCUCACACCAGUGAGAAUGGCUAAGAUAAAAAACUCAGGUGACAGCAGAUGCUGGCGAGGAUGUGGAGAAAGAGGAACACUCCUCCAUUGUUGGUGGGAUUGCAGACUGGUAAAACCAUUCUGGAAAUCAGUCUGGAGGUUCCUCAGAAAAUUGGACAUUGAACUGCCUGAGGAUCCAGCCAUACCUCUCUUGGGCAUAUACCCAAAAGAUGCCUCAACAUAUAAAAGAGACACGUGCUCCACUAUGUUCAUCGCAGCCUUAUUUAUAAUAGCCAGAAACUGGAAAGAACCCAGAUGCCCUUCAACAGAGGAAUGGAUACAGAAAAUGUGGUACAUCUACACAAUGGAAUAUUACUCAGCUAUCAAAAACAACGAGUU
rnacentral:lncRNA from 1 species